CAGAUUAGUUAGUUGGUGGGGUAAUGGCCUAUCAAGGCUCCGAUCUGUAGCUGGUCUUAUAGGAUGAUCAGCCACACUGGAACUGAGACACGGUUCAGAGUCCUACGGGAGGCAGCAGUGGGGAAUAUUGGACAAUGGGGGGAACCCUGAUCCAGCCAUGCCGCGUGUGUGAAGAAGGCCUUAUGGUUGUAAAGCACUUUAAGCGAGGAGGAGGCUACUUUAGUUAAUACCUAGAGAUAGUGGACGUUACUCGCAGAAUAAGCACCGGCUAACUAUGUGCCAGCAGCCGCGGUAAUACAGAGGGUGCGAGCGUUAAUCGGAUUUACUGGGCGUAAAGCGUGCGUAGGCGGCUUAUUAAGUCGGAUGUGAAAUCCCCGAGCUUAACUUGGGAAUUGCAUUCGAUACUGGUGAGCUAGAGUAUGGGAGAGGAUGGUAGAAUUCCAGGUGUA
rnacentral:rRNA from 1 species